CCUACGGGUGACUGCAGUGAGGAAUAUUGGUCAAUGGACGAGAGUCUGAACCAGCCAAGUAGCGUGAAGGAAGACUGCCCUAUGGGUUGUAAACCUCUUUUGUCAGGGAGCAAUUGGCGCUACGUGUAGCGUUAUCGAGAGUACCUGAAGAAAAAGCAUCGGCUAACUCCGUGCCAGCAGCCGCGGUAAUACGGAGGAUGCGAGCGUUAUCCGGAUUUAUUGGGUUUAAAGGGUGCGUAGGCGGAAUGCCAAGUCAGCGGUAAAAUCGCGGGGCUCAACCUCGCUCCGCCGUUGAAACUGGGGUUCUUGAGUGGGCGAGAGGUAGGCGGAAUGCGUGGUGUAGCGGUGAAAUGCAUAGAUAUCACGCAGAACUCCGAUUGCGAAGGCAGCAUACCGGCGCCCAACUGACGCUGAAGCACGAAAGCGUGGGUAUCGAACAGGAUUAGAUACCCGUGUAGUC
rnacentral:rRNA from 1 species